GAGGAAAGCGGGCGGCGGGCUGAACACAUGCAAGUCGAACGAUGAAGCCCAGCUUGCUGGGUGGAUUAGUGGCGAACGGGUGAGUAACACGUGAGUAACCUGCCCUUAACUCUGGGAUAAGCCUGGGAAACUGGGUCUAAUACCGGAUAGGAGCGUCCACCGCAUGGUGGGUGUUGGAAAGAUUUAUCGGUUUUGGAUGGACUCGCGGCCUAUCAGCUUGUUGGUGAGGUAAUGGCUCACCAAGGCGACGACGGGUAGCCGGCCUGAGAGGGUGACCGGCCACACUGGGACUGAGACACGGCCCAGACUCCUACGGGAGGCAGCAGUGGGGAAUAUUGCACAAUGGGCGCAAGCCUGAUGCAGCGACGCCGCGUGAGGGAUGACGGCCUUCGGGUUGUAAACCUCUUUCAGUAGGGAAGAAGCGAAAGUGACGGUACCUGCAGAAGAAGCACCGGCUAACUACGUG
rnacentral:rRNA from 1 species